GACGAACGCUGGCGGCGCGCCUAACACAUGCAAGUCGAACGAGCGAGAGGAGGUUUACUUUCUCAAGCGAGUGGCGAACGGGUGAGUAACGCGUGAGGAACCUGCCUCAAAGAUGGGGACAACAGUUGGAAACGACUGCUAAUACCGCAUAAGCCCACGACCCGUCAUCGGGUAGAUGGAAAAUGAGCAAUCCGCUUUGAGAUGGCCUCGCGUCCGAUUAGCUAGUUGGUGAGGUAAUGGCCCACCAAGGCGACGAUCGGUAGCCGGACUGGGAGGUUGAACGGCCACAUUGGGACUGAGACACGGCCCAGACUCCUACGGGAGGCAGCAGUGGGGAAUAUUGCACAAUGGGGGAAACCCUGAUGCAGCGACGCCGCGUGGAGGAAGAAGGUCUUCGGAUUGUAAACUCCUGUUGUUGAGGAAGAUAAUGACGGUACUCAACAAGGAAGUGACGGCUAACUACGUG
rnacentral:rRNA from 1 species